UCAAACUUGGUCAUUUAGAGGAAGUAAAAGUCGUAACAAGGUCCCCGUAGGUGAACCUUCGGGGGGAUCAUUACCGAGCGUCGCGGGCCUCCUUUGGACCGCGUCCUCCCCAUCCCUGCCCGAAACCCCCAACCUUGCUUCGGCCGCUCUGGCGGCCGGAAUUUCAACCCUGAAAACGGUGUAAUCCGAGCGGCGAGAGCCGAACUCAGUACAACCUGCAACGAUGGAUCUCUUGGUUCCGGCAUCGAUGAAGAACGCAGC
rnacentral:misc_RNA from 1 species